CGCCUCUGGUGGCGAAUGAACGCGCGCCAUUUUUAAGUAAAAUCGUCGAAGCUUCACAAGCUGGGAGAAAGCUUCACAGUCGUUGGGAGAGUCACCAGUUUGGACGAUGAAGCCAACGCAGCCAUCAUUGAAGACCACGAAUGCGUGGCGCGCCACAUCAAGCUUCCGCCUCAAAUUUCGAGCUUGGACAUCGUAAAGAACCAAGUCUACAUAUUUUAUGGAGUCAUCACACCGCUCCACGAUGGUAGUCAAGAUGAGUGCCUCGAAGUGACUCGCUUCACUUCUGUCAAGGAUGUGGACCUGCCUCUCUAUGGAUCAUGUGCCAAGGUCCGCCGGCAAAUCGUCAAGGAAAUGGAUGAAGUAGUUGGUAACACGUUGGACGAAAUCCUGAGCCAGCUUGAUCAGGAAUGCCAAGUUUUCGGGGAUUGGAAGGCCGGCGUCCGGCGAUUGGUCGCCAACGAGCAACAGAGUGAUGCGCCGGAGACAUAUCAAAGCCCGGACUGUCCCACACUAGAUCCCGGGAUCUUUGUGUGCGGCAGUGAUCCAGACGACCGCAACGUAAAGAAGAAGGUGUCGUUGGAACGGCUCGCCAUGGACAUCGUCAAAAAAGUUUACGAAGAAGAUUGCGCCCGAGGCCAGGACGAAAAGGUUCACUGCCCAACAAAGCCACCGUAGCCAAGCUGUCGAAAGAAUGUAGCUAUGGUUUUGCCUUUGCACAACAUCAAAUGCUAGCAGAGUGCUUUCCUUGUUAAUGUUAAGUCCCUGAAUGCAAGUUCCCAUCCCUUUUCUUCAGUGCCUUCAACUCUUAAAACAACAAGCAGUGAAACAGAAGUCCGUGCUUCACAGCACCAUCUUGAAAGAAGACAUUUAAAGCUGAAGGUAUGCCAGGUAGGCUGCUUCGACAGAUCCGAGGCAAAGCACCGGCCUACGGCUCCCCAGUUGGUGGGUUUUGAUCUCGCCAAGAUGCCUGCAAUCAGACGGAAGCUUAUUGUAGAGAAGCCCCCGUGAAGCUGAAAUUUCGGUUACAUGUUAAAAGAUCCCAGGCUAACCGAAAUUGACCCACAGUCAUCUGCUGGGACAUUGCAACACCCUUUGGUUUUGCACAAAACCCCCCCAAAAUUUACUCUGUACCUAUCAGUCGAAGACGACAUGGAAACAUAUAGCAAAGGGAUGCAUGGAUGGAUGAAUGGAUAUUGGGGACCUUGGUUGUGGCACAUGUUGCCAGUUGGGAUUGUGGUCAAUGCCGAGAAGCUAUGACACGGCUAUGUCAUUGGAGGUUGUCCAGAUUUUAUUGCCUGCCACAGGCCAUCCUGUGCAAGAGUUGAGUAAAGGUAUCCAGGGACAAAUAUUCUGGGCUUCUUUUCCCACAACUUUGACACAGAAUACCGAAUACAAACAAUUGCCUGCCCAACUUUCACUUCUGGGUGUGAAGCUCGGCCAAAACCUUUGUAAUUAAUGUCAGUCUCCAAAUCGUGGUGUACAAAUAUGGUUUUUGUGCAAAAUAUAGUAGAAACUAACUACCCCAAUGUCACCUUGAAAACGUAGCAAAAUUAACACCAGGAACAGAAAAUAGUGCAAGGGAUGGUGAAUAUUAACCAUGCUGAAUUAACCCGACGGCUAGAAAGGAAACAUCAAAACAUAGAAAUUUAUUUUGUUUCCCGACAGCCGGUUCGGUUUUUCUUAAUUUUUAUCCAUUUAAAAAAAAAGGGGGGGGGGAGGGGGGGGCUGGGGAAGGUUAUUAGGUGCAGGGUGUGCUUUUUGUAUCAGAAGUGUGUAGAAUGGAAGGGGAGAAUGAUCCUUUUUUUCCAGUUUGAACGAGGAUGGGUGUUGCCUUAGCCCGUCGUCCUGUAAGGUUCUUCCCAUUCUUACAUCGUGUGAUGGAGACUGGCAUUUGGGCUGUAUAGACUUCAUCCUUUCUUUGUGUUUGUGAUCAUAUGACCUUAAAGGCCGACGUACACUUCGCGCUUUCCAUUUUUGCCUGCCCCCUCCUUUCCUAUAUCCUCUCCACUUUUAAGCUUGCCCAACUUGGCUUUCCUCGCAGAUUAGGAGAGGGGAGCGCUAACAGGAUUAUCUUCCCUGCAGAAAACCGAGGUUGGUACGUCGGCCUUUAAAGGGGCGAUGCAACCAUUUUUGCACUUUGCGCAAAUACCGCUUAGAAUGGAUCCCUGACGUUAAUGACUUAUGAAACAAGCAUUCGUUUUUCACCCCACACAAUAGAAGCUCCAGAAAAAAUUAAAGAAAAACGAGCAGCGUUCACCCCCUCAACUCGCAGCCAGAACAAGCGACCACGUGAUAUGGAGCCGAUUAAAUGCCGCCAAUGUUGAUCACAGCCACGCGCUGGGGUUGGCGAAGCACAGGACAUGUGCCGAGUUCCUGACAUUGUUAGGGCUCGGAUAUUGUCGUCAUUGCAGCGAUUGGACACGGGCCACUACCCGAAUGCUUCUCGAGCUAGUAAUUUUCACGAGCCAAAAUCGAGUGCCCACGCAAUGCUGGGGUCCAAUCUAUGAACCGCAUUCAAAUAUCGUCAUUGGGGUGUACUGCCCCCACAUUACGUCAUCAAAUUUUGCAAAGGAGAGAUUGAAUGAAAAUGAUCGCUUUUGUCCUUGAAAUUACACGGCAGCAAAGGAGUUUCUUGGCCAGUGGCGUUGCGUGCGAGUAUCCUUGAGUCCUACUAGUGCCAGUAAGCUCGUGUAAAGUGAAAAAAAACAUCUGAAUUGAAUAUCGCUGCACUGUAUAAGGAGAUGAACUAAAUAAACGAGUUAGCACAGUUCGAGAUGUUGUCUUGUCUAUUUUCUGUCCCUUCUACAUUUUGAUGUUUCCUUCCUACCCCUGUCUCAGGAUAAUUACACAUGACCAAAAACAUAUGUAUCCAACACCCCUUGGGAAGUGCCAUUUUCAAGAGCAAACUACAGCUUAAACUUCGUCAACUACUCUUAAUCAGCAGUGUUGACAAGAGAUUGCGUCUUACGGGAACUGAUCAAACUAAAUUGCCUACAAUAAAUGCAUGUUUUUUGAGCCGGUUUCUUUUGUUAGUAUUUCAAGCAUUGAUCGUGUGGGUUUC